GGGACUUGCAAUUGCUGGCUGGAAAUAUCAGAGUAAGGGAUCAACAACUUUAUGAAAACAAUAUUUAAAACUAAAGGCACAUGAAAAUCAAUUUUGAUUCUGGCAUCAUAGGCAAAAUCUAAUUCAUCUAAGUCCAACAAUGAAUAAACCAAGCAAUGAAAUCAUUCUUAUCACGUUGAACAAGCUCUUUUUCUUAAAAAGUAUCUUUCCCCUUGGAAGGAUUGCAAUUCCUGCAUUAGGAAGUAACCCCAAGGUAUAAUAGCUUAGGCUGCAUAAAAAGGAAAUUAAGACUGAUCUGUAAUGUUGAUGAUGUGAAUGUGAUAACCAUAAAAGCCCCAAAAUCAGAAAGCAAAGAAGCAAUAUAACCAGCAAUCUAUACAAAUAAAUUCUUUUUAUAGCAACAUUACCCAUAAUUGUUAAAAUUGCUUAAAACUCCUAACAUAGAACCAAUAGUGAUGAAUUCAGUAAAUGUAUUUAGGAAAAAUGCAGACCACCUGAACCCAAAGAAGAAACUUUCAACUGAAAAUGAAACUGCCAAAUCAAAAAAUAGGUAUAACAAAUCUGCUCAUGGACCACAAGCACCAGAGCUGGUAAUUGUAUAGAAAACAAUUAAAUGUGGUUUUUGAACUGCAAGUAUGAGAGUUAGAAAGCCAACAAGAAUGUCUAAUAGUAAGCACUCAGAACAUAAGACUGUUUCGGCUUUGACAGUUAAUCAACUAAAAAACUUAAUAAUAAACCAAAAAAAAGGAAGAGUAGACGAAGAUCAACGCAGACCAACAAGAGCAAAAAGCAAGGAAGCAAAACCACAACAAUCAAGCAAGUAGAAUCCCAUACAAACACUCACACAGAAGAGCAAUUAAAAUUGGAACAGACAAAAAAUUAAUUACAAAAAAUCUCGAAAAAAAUUCAAGAAAUCCUAAACCCUUUCAACCCUCAAAAUUCCUACUCACCAAACCCCUUCGACGAAGUAAAU
rnacentral:misc_RNA from 1 species